CUCUCUCUGUCAAAAAAGAAUAAAGACAUUUAAAAAAAAUUUUAAAGUGUCUGUGAGAUACACAGUCAUCCAGUGAGUCACUUUUUCUUAAUUCUCUUUAAUGGGUCACUCACAGUUUGUGACAAGAACGUUACUAAUUGCAUACCCAGUGCCAGUGGCAGUGUGGAGUCAUCGAGGAAAUCACUGUUAGCUACAACCCGUAUAAAAACGGAUUAUUCUCUAGAGAGGCCACAUGCCAUCCUGAGAGAAUGCGGGGCUGGUGCCUCAAAGUUCUUAGGCAGAUGAGGUACACAGCCUGGGGCCCACUAUGUUAACUGCAGCCUUCUCAGCUGUGAAAAAUGAGAACAGCAAUCCUUCCUGCUCUAGAAGAGAGUUGUGCUUAUUAAUUAGUUUGUAUUUCAAAGUGCUUCCCAACUGGCAAGUUUCACUAUCGAAUUAAGGAAAACUUCCUUUCAUUUUAUCCCCCGCCACAUUAGGAUGAAAAGAAACUGUGCUCACUGAGGCUGUGAGAAAAUUGGAGGGGAUUCAGGCAAAAAAGCUAACAAACCUGACUUCCAAAGGUAGUGGCUCAUUUCCCCAACUGCAAGAUGGCACCCAUUAACGGAGCUUGGUAAAUUAGGUAUCUCAAAGGGCAACCGAAUCUGCUUUCUGAAGAAUUACAUUCGUUUUAGAUUUAAUUUUUAUGAUCCCUUCAAGAAAAAAAAAAAGAAAAUGAGCCAAAUCACACUGUGAUGGUGGAUUUGAAAAUGGAAACUUCCCCUUCUUCCGUACGAAGUGGUAUAAACACUACCGUGUUUUCUUGACACUUGCUUGUAUCCCAACUUUUAGAUCUUCAGAUCACUUUGUCUUUCUAGUUUCUAUGCUAGUUUAUACUAGAAAUUAUGCCCACCAGACUUCUCUUACUAAGGGUUCUAUUGUCAUCUGAAGACUAACUGUUCAAAAAAAGAGAGUUCGCUCCUACUCUCCUUGUGGGUAACUGUCCACUCACCUUUUUGUUUCCUUCCAUCCUGUGGAAAUGCAGCUGCCCAGCUGGGACUGUGCUUCCCAGUCUCCUUUGCAUCUCGCUGGGGUCAUGCAACAAGUUUUCACCAGUGGAAAAUGAGGAGAAGGAGGGCUUCUAAGAAGUGAGUAUGCCUCUUCACUGUCUCGGAAGGCUGAAAAUGAUUCUGAGACGUAGAUAGAAACCUGAAUCCUUUAACCCACAGAUAAGGAACAUCUGCUUUGGAUUAUUAUCUGACUUUCCAGCUCAACAUGCCCAUCCCUCCCCCACCCUCCAUUAAGUUGUAAAGCAGGGAAAUAUUUUUCUUUUCUUCAUGGCCUUCCAAAGAAUGGACACAGAACCACGAGAGAAAUCGCUGGCCAGAGGAAAGCAAUCCCUUAGAGAAAGCAAUCCAACUAUCAUCACCCUAGAGAGCUGGGCCACCGCCAACAUCUCCAUCAGCAAGUUGGAAGAGUUGUCUGACUUCCCAACACAAUAAAAAUGGAGACAUGAGCAUCCAGAGCCCCAGCCAGCACAAUUACAUGAAGCCAAAGAACAUUAUCACUUCUGGGUUGCAGGAUUUAUGACCAACUGUGAUGGAAAAUAAAGACAGGGAUACUUGCCUGAAUUCAUCAUUCACAAAAGGCAAUACGUUUUAAUCACAGAGAAGUUGUAUAUAUUGUACUUUUUAAAUGAAAACCCUAGCAAACAGAGCAGAAACAGAUGUCAGCAUCCUAGAGAAAAAAGAAACAUGAAAAAGAUUGCCAGUUUGCUCCUGUUGAGAAGAUACGCAAGUGAUAUCCUUUAUUGUUGAAAAACUUUUAAAUGCACCGAGGCAAGCAUUUCUAUCGUGGUGGUUUCCUGGAUUUGGGAAACUGCUUCUAAGGAGUAGGCUUGUAUUCGGCAUAGUGUCUGCUGAUCUAGGAAUCAAGUAGUGAGGAUAAUAUGCCACUUCGAGGAAGCCUGUGAUUUCCAUGUGCCAUGAAUAUUACUUUCUUGCCAGUGCAUCUGCCCUGAACUCCCCUGGAACCAUGCUCUUUGCCCAGCAGAGCACUCUUAGGUAUUAUUACUGUUCUCAAUGGUUGUCUCCACUCUAAGACAUAUACCCACCCUAUGAGUGAAGGCUCAUGGUGUUCCUGGCCCAGGGCUGGCACGUGAUGAAUACUUAGAAAAUAUCGAAGAGCUCUGAUUAAGUUGUGAUUUUAUGUAAUUAAAAUUCUUCACACAGAUGAUCUGUUUUCACUGUUGGCAAUGAAAAGGUAAACCAGUAUGGUUUUAAAGUUCAGCUGUUUAUCAGAACCAAAAUUAGCCUCAGAACCACUGAAAGUUUAAAAAGACUGCUUGAGGAAGGAAGGAAGGGUCUACAUAAUCCUUCAAACACAAGAUUCAUUCUAUCAAUGCUUGGAAUAGCUCCUCGAACCCUAAAAGUGAGUUUGUUUCCAGAACACCUGAAACAGAGACCACAUUUUUAUGAUGUUUGCCUUCCACAGUCAAGUUUACAUUAGGGAGCUGUAUUUUCCUUAUAUUUAUUUUGAAAUCAUUUGAGUUUUCCAAUGAAAUAACAUUCUCAUUUUCUUCCCUCUUCCCA